CCCGUGUUCUUCAAGAGAGAGUUCAACCGCACUUGGCCCUUCCUUGUUGGUUUCGCCGUUACCGGAACCAUCAUCACCAAGUUCUCCCUUGGUCUCACCGAGGAAGAUGAGAAGAACUCUCCAUUCGCUCAGAAACACAAGAGGUGAUCCACUGAUUUGACAAAGCCUAUAUGGUUGCAAUCCCUUGUUAUGAGAGGCGUGGUUCUUUUAUCUUUUCCAAUGAACUAUAAAAAUAACAGAAGACAUCAAAUUCUGAGUACGCUCUAGUUGUGAAUUAUUUUUUUGGUCAACAAUUAAUGAUUUUGCUUUGAAUAAAUGUUAAAAACAUCUUUACAGUUAUUGUUAGUGGUUGAUGCCCUUGAUUCUGGUUAUUUGAUCAUUAAAAUUGAAACUUGACA